rnacentral:rRNA from 1 species
UACGUAGGGGGCAAGCGUUAUCCGGAUUUAUUGGGUUUAAAGGGAGCGUAGGUGGAUUGUUAAGUCAGUUGUGAAAGUUGCGGCUCAACCGUAAAAUUGCAGUUGAAACUGGCAGUCUUGAGUACAGUAGAGGUGGGCGGAAUUCGUGGUGUAGCGGUGAAACGCUUAGAUAUCACGAAGAACUCCGAUUGCGAAGGCAGCUCACUGGACUGCAACUGACACUGAGGCUCGAAAGUGUGGGUAUCAAACAGG